rfam:Populus trichocarpa scaffold_9_contig_94, whole genome shotgun sequence.
UUUUUUAGAGUUAAAAUGUCAAUAUUUUAACGAGUCUUCUAUUUUUAAGGACCAAUAUCAUUUUUUGACGUGUCUUAUAUUUUUAGAGAUC